CCAGACUCCUACGGGAGGCAGCAGUGAGGAAUAUUGGUCAAUGGGCGCGAGCCUGAACCAGCCAAGUCGCGUGAGGGAGGACGGCCCUACGGGUUGUAAACCUCUUUUGCCGGGGAGCAACGGGCGUCACGUGUGGCGCCACUGAGAGUACCCGGAGAAAAAGCAUCGGCUAACUCCGUGCCAGCAGCCGCGGCAAUACGGAGGAUGCGAGCGUUAUCCGGAUUUACUGGGUGUAAAGGGCGUGUAGGCGGGACUGCAAGUCAGAUGUGAAAAUUAUGGGCUCAACCCAUAACCUGCAUUUGAAACUGUAGUUCUUGAGUGAUGGAGAGGCAGGCGGAAUUCCGUGUGUAGCGGUGAAAUGCGUAGAUAUACGGAGGAACACCAGUGGCGAAGGCGGCCUGCUGGACAUUAACUGACGCUGAGGCGCGAAAGCGUGGGGAGCAAACAGGAUUAGAUACCCUAGUA
rnacentral:rRNA from 1 species